AUGAAAUGGAAGGAGAAAGGCAAGGAUCAAGGGACAGAAGGUCAAUCUUUUCCUAACCCCUUGUGCUCUGUACCCUCAGAGUGGACACUCUCAGAUGAUGGAAGCAUUCUUCUCUGGCCCUGUGAUGUAGAGUUCCCUGUGUGUGUUAGGAACAGUGGGUGCUCCCGAGAUGUUGACGGCAUUCUUCUCUGGCUACAAGGUCGGGGGAUCCUGCUUACGUUCACAGUAUAG
rnacentral:lncRNA from 1 species